AGCGGACUUUAAAAGCUUGCUUUUAAAGUUCGCGGCGGACGGGUGAGUAACACGUGGGCAACCUGCCUGUAAGACUGGGAUAACUUCGGGAAACCGGAGCUAAUACCGGAUAAUCCUUUUCCUCUCAUGAGGAAAAGCUGAAAGACGGUUUACGCUGUCACUUACAGAUGGGCCCGCGGCGCAUUAGCUAGUUGGUGAGGUAACGGCUCACCAAGGCGACGAUGCGUAGCCGACCUGAGAGGGUGAUCGGCCACACUGGGACUGAGACACGGCCCAGACUCCUACGGGAGGCAGCAGUAGGGAAUCUUCCGCAAUGGACGAAAGUCUGACGGAGCAACGCG
rnacentral:rRNA from 1 species